CCCUUAGAUGUUCUGGGCCGCGCGCGCGCUACACUGAUGCAUUCAACGAGUCUAAAACCUGGUCUGAUAGGGCUGGGUAAUCUUUUGAAAGUGCAUCGUGAUUGGGAUAGAUGAUUGCAAUUCUUCAUCUUCAACGAGGAAUGCCUAGUAAACGCAAGUCAUCAGCUUGCAUUGAUUACGUCCCUGCCCUUUGUACACACCGCCCGUCGCUCCUACCGAUUGAAUGAUCCGAUGAAUACCAUGGAUUGAGAGUACGAAUGGGUUCGCUCAUUUCUGCUGCUCGAGAAGUGGAGUAAAUCUUAUCAUUUAGAGGAAGGAGAAGUCGUAACA
rnacentral:rRNA from 1 species